rnacentral:rRNA from 1 species
GACGAACGCUAGCGGGAUGCCUUACACAUGCAAGUCGAACGGAGUGGCGAUCGGGUGAGUAAUGUAUCGGAACGUGCCCAGUAGCGGGGGAUAACUACGCGAAAGCGUAGCUAAUACCGCAGACUUUAGGUGCGGUCUAUAGCGGAUUAGCUAGUGGGUGGGGUAAUGGCUCACCAAGGCGACGAUCCGUAGCUGGUUUGAGAGGACGACCAGCCACACUGGGACUGAGACACGGCCCAGACUCCUACGGGAGGCAGCAGUGGGGAAUUUUGGACAAUGGGGGAAACCCUGAUCCAGCCAUCCCGCGUGUGCGAUGAAGGCCUUCGGGUUGUAAAGCACUUUUGGCAGGGAAGCGGUACCUGCAGAAUAAGCACCGGCUAACUACGUGCCAGCCGCCGCGGUAAUUC